rnacentral:rRNA from 1 species
AACGAACGCUGGCGGCAGGCUUAACACAUGCAAGUCGAACGCUGUAGCAAUACAGAGUGGCAGACGGGUGAGUAACGCGUGGGAACAUACCCUUCGGUUCGGAAUAACUCAGGGAAACUUGAGCUAAUACCGGAUACGUCCGCGAGGAGAAAGAUUCAUCGCCGAAGGAUUGGCCCGCGUCUAAUUAGCUAGUUGGUGAGGUAACGGCUCACCAAGGCGACGAUCAGUAGCUGGUCUGAGAGGAUGAUCAGCCACACUGGGACUGAGACACGGCCCAGACUCCUACGGGAGGCAGCAGUGGGGAAUAUUGGACAAUGGGCGCGAGCCUGAUCCAGCCAUGCCGCGUGAGUGAUGAAGGCCUUAGGGUUGUAAAGCUCUUUUACCCGGGAAGAUAAUGACGGUACCGGGAGAAUAAGCCCCGGCUAACUUCGUGCCAGCAGCCGCGGUAAUACGAAGGGGGCUAGCGUUGUUCGGAUUUACUGGGUGUAAAGCGCACGUAGGCGGAUUCUUAAGUCAGGGGUGAAAUCCCGAGGCUCAACCUCGGAACUGCCUUUGAUACUGGGGAUCUCGAGUUCGGGAGAGGUGAGUGGAACUGCGAGUGUAGAGGUGAAAUUCGUAGAUAUUCGCAAGAACACCAGUGGCGAAGGCGGCUCACUGGCCCGAUACUGACGCUGAGGUGCGAAA